AUUGAACGCUGGCGGCAGGCUUAACACAUGCAAGUCGAGCGAGCGGCGGACGGGUGAGUAAUGUCUGGGAAACUGCCUGAUGGAGGGGGAUAACUACUGGAAACGGUAGCUAAUACCGCAUAUCAUCUGACUUGCACAGAUGGGAUUAGCUAGUUGGCGGGGUAAUGGCUUACCUAGGCGACGAUCCCUAGCUGAGCUGAGAGGAUGACCAGCCACACUGGAACUGAGACACGGUCCAGACGCCUACGGGAGGCAGCAGUGGGGAAUAUUGCGCAAUGGGCGAAAGCCUGACGGAGCCAUGCCGCGUGUGUGAAGAAGGCCUUCGGGUUGUAAAGCACUUUCAGCGGGGAGGCGUUACUCGCAGAGGAAGCACCGGCUAACUCCGUGCCAGCAGCCGCGGUAAUUC
rnacentral:rRNA from 1 species